AUGAACGCUAGCUACAGGCUUAACACAUGCAAGUCGAGGGGCAGCAUGGUCUUAGCUUGCUAAGGCCGAUGGCGACCGGCGCACGGGUGAGUAACACGUAUCCAACCUGCCGUCUACUCUUGGACAGCCUUCUGAAAGGAAGAUUAAUACAAGAUGGCAUCAUGAGUCCGCAUGUUCACAUGAUUAAAGGUAUUCCGGUAGACGAUGGGGAUGCGUUCCAUUAGAUAGUAGGCGGGGUAACGGCCCACCUAGUCUUCGAUGGAUAGGGGUUCUGAGAGGAAGGUCCCCCACAUUGGAACUGAGACACGGUCCAAACUCCUACGGGAGGCAGCAGUGAGGAAUAUUGGUCAAUGGGCGAGAGCCUGAACCAGCCAAGUAGCGUGAAGGAUGACUGCCCUAUGGGUUGUAAACUUCUUUUAUAAAGGAAUAAAGUCGGGUAUGGAUACCCGUUUGCAUGUACUUUAUGAAUAAGGAUCGGCUAACUCCGUGCCAGCAGCCGCGGUAAUACGGAGGAUCCGAGCGUUAUCCGGAUUUAUUGGGUUUAAAGGGAGCGUAGAUGGAUGUUUAAGUCAGUUGUGAAAGUUUGCGGCUCAACCGUAAAAUUGCAGUUGAUACUGGAUAUCUUGAGUGCAGUUGAGGCAGGCGGAAUUCGUGGUGUAGCGGUGAAAUGCUUAGAUAUCACGAAGAACUCCGAUUGCGAAGGCAGCCUGCUAAGCUGCAACUGACAUUGAGGCUCGAAAGUGUGGGUAUCAAACAGGAUUAGAUACCCUGGUAGUCCACACGGUAAACGAUGAAUACUCGCUGUUUGCGAUAUACUGCAAGCGGCCAAGCGAAAGCGUUAAGUAUUCCACCUGGGGAGUACGCCGGCAACGGUGAAACUCAAAGGAAUUGACGGGGGCCCGCACAAGCGGAGGAACAUGUGGUUUAAUUCGAUGAUACGCGAGGAACCUUACCCGGGCUUGAAUUGCAGAGGAAGGAUUUGGAGACAAUGACGCCCUUCGGGGUCUCUGUGAAGGUGCUGCAUGGUUGUCGUCAGCUCGUGCCGUGAGGUGUCGGCUUAAGUGCCAUAACGAGCGCAACCCUUGUUGUCAGUUACUAACAGGUUCUGCUGAGGACUCUGACAAGACUGCCAUCGUAAGAUGUGAGGAAGGUGGGGAUGACGUCAAAUCAGCACGGCCCUUACGUCCGGGGCUACACACGUGUUACAAUGGGGGGUACAGAGGGCCGCUACCACGCGAGUGGAUGCCAAUCCCAAAAACCUCUCUCAGUUCGGACUGGAGUCUGCAACCCGACUCCACGAAGCUGGAUUCGCUAGUAAUCGCGCAUCAGCCACGGCGCGGUGAAUACGUUCCCGGGCCUUGUACACACCGCCCGUCAAGCCAUGGGAGCCGGGGGUACCUGAAGUGCGUAACCGCGAGGAGCGCCCUAGGGUAAAACUGGUGACUGGGGCU
rnacentral:rRNA from 1 species